UGGGGAAUAUUGGACAAUGGGCGCAAGCCUGAUCCAGCCAUGCCGCGUGAGUGAUGAAGGCCCUAGGGUUGUAAAGCUCUUUUGUGCGGGAAGAUAAUGACGGUACCGCAAGAAUAAGCCCCGGCUAACUUCGUGCCAGCAGCCGCGGUAAUACGAAGGGGGCUAGCGUUGCUCGGAAUCACUGGGCGUAAAGGGUGCGUAGGCGGGUCUUUAAGUCAGGGGUGAAAUCCUGGGGCUCAACUCCAGAACUGCCUUUGAUACUGAGGAUCUUGAGUUCGGGAGAGGUGAGUGGAACUGCGAGUGUAGAGGUGAAAUUCGUAGAUAUUCGCAAGAACACCAGUGGCGAAGGCGGCUCACUGGCCCGAUACUGACGCUGAGGCACGAAAGCGUGGGGAGCAAACA
rnacentral:rRNA from 1 species